rnacentral:lncRNA from 1 species
GCUGCUUUCCAAGUCCAGUAUCAAGAAUUUCUGAAUUCUCUCUCUCUCUCUCUCUAAGGCUGAUGCAGUUCUUCUGGGGGAUCAGAACAUGAGAAGAAAAUGGUUCAAGGACAUUUCCACUCUUGAGUCUCUGACCUGUUACAUCCUUACCAGUAUGAAAGAUGAAGUAGUUUGCUGAAUUUGGGGAGAGAUUUUAGCAUUCUCUAAAGGAUUUUCACACCUAAAAGGUAAGUACUGAAUAUUUUAAGUACAGAAAUUAAGUCAUUACAAAGUCAUUGGUCCUUGAAGCACUUACCUAAAGUUUGACUAUUGCCAUUUACUGGCUCCUUUUUGCCACCAAUUCACUAGUACUCAAGACUAAAGUAUAUCUUUGUUAAACUUUAGUUGUAUGCAUGCUGUCCGUAGGUGACCUUGCC